rnacentral:rRNA from 1 species
UACAGAGGUGGCAAGCGUUGUUCGGAAUUACUGGGCGUAAAGGGCGCGUAGGCGGUCUUGUAAGUCUUGUGUGAAAUCCCUCGGCUUAACUGAGGAACUGCACGGGAUACUGCGAGACUUGAGAUCGGGAGAGGGAAGCGGGAUCCGGGUGUAGCGGUGAAAUGCGUAGAUAUCCGGAGGAACACCGGUGGCGAAGGCGGCUUCCUGGACCGACACUGACGCUGGAGGCGCGAAAGCUAGGGGGAGCAAACGGG